rnacentral:rRNA from 1 species
AGAUUGAACGCUGGCGGCAGGCCUAACACAUGCAAGUCGAGCGGCAGCACGGGUACUUGUACCUGGUGGCGAGCGGCGGACGGGUGAGUAAUGCCUAGGAAUCUGCCUGAUAGUGGGGGAUAACGUUCGGAAACGGACGCUAAUACCGCAUACGUCCUACGGGAGAAAGUGGGGGACUUCGUUA